ensembl:lncRNA
GGACAAUUUAAGAGAAUCCAGGAGCUUUGACUAACCGGCUACUCAGCCAUGACCCUGCCCUGUUGAAGGAAGUAGAAAGGACGGGAAUUGGUCAGUCAACAGCACUCAGGUGCCAAGUCGUGAACACACUGUGGGGAGGAGACCGGCAACAGAAAAUGACUGGAAGACACAAGGAAUCCCUAAAAGAUCGAAAAAAUGUUCUCCGCAAUCUAAACAAAGUUAGAUUGGGAAAUGCAGCAUGGUACCAUGGGGGCCUGGUUCGGCCAUGACCCGCCUGCCCGCAGGCGCCGGCCUCAGAUGCUCAGAGCGGCCUGGGGAGAGAGGGGAUGCUUUGACUUUUCAAGAUCUAAGAGUUAUGGUUCCCUUUUGGCGAAAUGCUUUUUGUCCUGUCAUAACUUGAGUCCUUUGUGGUAGCACCGAUUGUGGCCUCGGAAGCCCAGGUAGGAGUCAUUCAACCUUUUUCAGCAGAUUGAAGUGAUUUUUAAGUGAAUACAGAAAGCAGCCCUACCCACACCAUCCUCUGUCAGGAAUGAAGCAUCUGUGAUGGAAAAUACCUGCAGCCUGGGGAAAAAAUUUACUGCAACAGCUCCAUUUCAUGUUGUGGGGUCAUAUUUUUAUUGAUGUGAAAUUCUUGCUCUCUACUGUCCGAUUUUUGUUAACUACUGAAUCUAAAUCUUGUUGGGUCUUGUGCUUGCAAACCCCUGUAAUUAGCAUGAUAUCCUAGAUUGUUUUUAAAUUGAAGUGGCCUGGUUUCUGUGUCUAACCUGUGCAGUUAGAGGCCCCGGGGCUGAGAUUGUAUCUGGGGCUCUCCCUGGACCCCUCUCUUCCACGCCCUGGCUGGAGACUGAGCAUCAAAAUCUCCCAUGGAAACCUGGAUCCAGAGUUCAGGAACCGGGAGGCUGGCACAGGCGAGGGGGUGCGGGUGAUGUCAAGCACCCUUCUCUGGGACUUGCAAGUUGCCACAGGUGGGUGGCAUAUCUCCCCCACCCCACCCCACCUCUGCUGGCUGUGCAUGAUAGGGAUGGGUUCCAUCCUCAGUGGGAGGGCUUCGCUGUCUCACACAAGGCUGCCUACAGGGCUUGAACACUUCAAGUGUGGGGAGGAGAUGCCCAGAUUUGGAUCCUGGCUUGACCAGUCCUGGCGCGGAUGUCCAGCCUCUCUGCUGGGUGAAGUCUGAAUCCCGGCACCCGUCACCGCAGCUUUUUCCUCGCAGCCUAGAUGAGACAAUUAGGAAAACCAGAGCCUGGAGAAUUCCAGGGACGGGAAGCCUGGUGGGCUGCCGUCUCUGGGUCGCACAGAGUCGGACACAACUGAAGCGACUUAGCAGCAGCAGCAGCAGCAGAGAGAUAAAGAGAACUUCCGCUGAAUCCUAGCUUCUGUCUUCUCAAUAGAGGAGAGCGUGGCAACCCACUCCAAUAUUCUUGCCUGGAGAAUCCUAUAGACAGAGGAGCCCUACAGUUCACGGGGUCAAAGAGUCAGAGGUGACUAAAGUGUGACCAUCUCACCAGAGGAUCCCUCCCACCUACCCUACACCACGAAGCCAAAUGGACCAAUGACAUGGGGCAGCUUCUUUUAAAUCUCACCCCCAGGGCCUCUGACUGCACAGGUAAGACACAGAAACCAGGCCACUCCAAUUUAAACAAGCCUUGCAGCUUCUUAAAGACCAGGGUCAAGUCCAUAUGAAGUCCUUCCGUUACUUACCUUCACAUUGGUCUCAGUGGUUUAUUUCAAAUUCUAGCCUAUUCAUUGAUAGCUUUUCCUGAAUGGUCUCCAAAAGCUCUCUGCAAAAGCGAUUUACAGAGUGGCUGGCCAGUGUGCUGAUCUGCACACUGAAGGAAGGAUCAUGUAGCUAAGGACUGCCAAACAGACAGAAGAGACAUGUUAUCACCGAGGCAAGAAGUGCGCAGUUAGCAGGGUUAAGGACCAGGAUUUGGGGGCCACAUAGCUGCUUGUAGCGAGAAGGUUCUUGCAUGAAGAAUCUUCUCAACUAUCUUUCCUUGCCCACAGCUAAAUAGUAGCUUCUACUUUAAAUCCAGGUCACAGUCAUUAGCUACCAGCAUGGUCGGCACUAGAUACUCAACGAGUAUGGAUCAGUUUAAGAUUUGCUUGAAGGUGAAAAGAGGAAUUAUUCAACAAAUGGUGUUGGAACCACUGGCUAGCCAUUUGGGAAAAAAAGUUUAGAACUUCCCUGGUGGUCCAGUGGUUAAGAGUCUGACCUCCCAAUGCAGGGAGUACAGGUUUGACCCCUGGUCGAGGAACUAAGAUCCUACAUGCCACUCAUGUUGCCGAGAAAUAAAGUAAAUAAAUAAAUAUAAACUUAAACUGAUUCUUACCUUACUUGUCACUCCCAGUAAAGCAUAUGUGGAUAAAAACUUCAAAGAUAAAAUUUGAAACCACAAUUUAAAAACUGUGGGUGCAUUUAUUGCUCAUCCCUGUUUGGAGAAGUCCUUUUUAGCAAGGAAGCCAUAGAUUAAAAAAUCAUAAAUUUCAUACCAUAAAAGAAAACAUAAUUUUGUGUGACAAAAAGUACCUUAAAAAUGACAAAACAGAAAAUAUUUGCAACAUUUGUAUAUGAGAAACAUAAUUUAAUUUAUUUAAAUUACAAAGAGCUCACACAAAUCAAUAAAGAAAAAGCAGAAUAACACAAUAGAAAAUAAGGCAAAGGAUAUGAAUGGACAGUUAAAAAGUGAUGCAAAUGUCUGAUAAAAAAUUUCACUGGAAACUAUAAGAUACCAUCUUUCAUCUAAAUGUCAGAAAUUGUAAAGUUUUAUUAUAAUUAGUGCCUGGGAAGAAGAUAUGUGGACAAGUAGGCAUUUGCAAAUAUAAAUUUAAGAACUGUCAACUGGUGUUCAUUUGCCCAAUAUUAAGAUCCUUCUAAGAGCAAUUGAGUAAUAUCAAUCAUGAUUUUAAUGUCUAUAACCUUUGAUCCAAGAACUUCACUGCCUGAAUUUAGCCUACAGUUACAUUGGCAAAAUUAUGCCAUGGGGAAACUGUAGAAACAGUGUCAGAUUUUAUUUUGGGGGGCUCCAAAAUCACUGCAUAUGGUGACUGCCCCAUGAAAUUAAAAGAUGCUUACUCCUUGGAAGAAAAGUUAUGACCAACCUAGAUAGCAUAUUGAAAAGCAGAAACAUUACUUUGCCAACAAAGGUUCGUCUAAUCAAGGCUAUGGUUUUUCCAGUGGUCAUGUAUGGAUGUGAGAGUUGCACUGUGAAGAAGGCUGAGCACCGAAGAAUUGAUGCUUUUGAACUAUGGUGUCGGAGAAGACUCUUGAGAGUCCCUUGGACUGCAAGGAGAUCCAACCAGUCCAUUCUGAAGGAGAUCAGCCCUGGGAUUUCUUUGGAAGGAAUGAUGCUAAAGCUGAAACUCCAGUACUUUGGCCACCUCAUGCGAAGAGUUGACUCAUUGGAAAAGACUCUGAUGCUGGGAGGGAUUGGGGGCAGGAGGAGAAGGGGACGACAGAGGAUGAGAUGGCUGGAUGGCAUCACUGACUCGAUGGACGUGAGUCUGAGUGAACUCCGGGAGUUGGUGAUGGACAAGGAGGCCUAGCGUGCUGCAAUUCAUGGGGUCGCAAAGAGUCGGACAUGACUGAGAGACGGAACUGAAUUGAAAUGAAUUGAUACAGGACAAGGAUGCCCAUGACAGCGUUGUUUGGAACAGCAGAAAGCUGGAAUCCAUUUAAGGGUCUAUCAAUGAGACCGGCUAGAAAAUGGAACUCUAAGAAACAGUUUUUGUGUCUUAAAAAAAAAAAUAUUAACAGGGUCUUCAGGUCAUGAGACCAAGGAUAUGUGAGUUUAUUUUUUAUUUUUGUCUGCACAGCAUGUGGGAUCUUAGUUCCCCAACCAAGGAUCAAACCCAUGCCCCCCGAAUUAGUAGUGCAGAGUCUGAACUACUAGACCACCAGAGAAGUCCAAGAAGCAGUUUUUAAAAAGGUUGAAAGGCGAUUGGUAGAGCUAGAUAUAGAGGACCUUUGAUUUUUUAAUAAGUAGGAAGGGAAAGCAAGGCUCUGGGCAAGGUAUUUAGGAAUAUCUGUUUUCAAAUUGUGUACCUUACUAGCCAAACCUUUUGAACGCAUUCACUAACGUAUUUGUUGAUUGAUUUAUACAUAUGUGAACCGAUCCAAAAAUAGCAUAAAAAAGUGAAUUGAAGCAAAGCAUAAGAUCUAAAAUUUUUUCGGCUACGCUGAAUUGUUUUAAGGACCUUUCCACCUUACAUGUAUGCACUUAUGCCACGUGAGUGACGUCAGUUCGUCACCUGUCAAUUUUAAAAUAUAUCUGCAAAUUCUUUGACACACCUUCCAUUGGUUUGCGUGAUCUAUGCCCUGUUCCCUUCAAAUGGGGCAGACCUUUGCCCUUGUUUUGGCCACCAGGGUAUGGCAGAAAUGACAAUAUUGGAUUCUGAGUCUAGAUGAGAAAACACUGGUGCCUGGUUUGUUUUUAGUUUUCUGGGAUGCAAAACCAAGCCAACACUGAUGUUGAUACUUGUGCGGAGGUUUAGACUUUGUUUAGACAGCACUUCCGUGCUAUGAAUAGUAGCUGCAGAAGUGAUGAACACAGCGCAGACAGACAUGCUGUACUUGGAGAAUUAGAAUUAGAACCAGGAAAGGCUGGAUAAUAUU